UUCAUUUUAAGGAAUAGUUUCAUUAAAAAUAGCUGGAGAUAUUAAAAAGUGCCAUUUAACCUCUUGUGAUCUUACUCUCAACAAAGUUUCAACAUUGAAGCAAAGCAUUUAUGUUUAUGUUAUAAAGUAGCAUGAUUAAUAUAACCCAGUAAGUGAAGUGUUUUGAGUGUCUGCUUUGUGCUUGCUACAGGCCAUUGACAACUAUCAACUAUGAUUCUAUACCUCAAGGAGUUUUUAGUUUAGCUCUGCACAAAAUCACACAAUACUUGUCGAUCAAUAAUGAAUGCCCUAUGGUAAUAGCUUCUUUUGAAUGGAGAUUUUGAAAAUGAGAUCAAUGAGGAGUGGAGUGCAGUACCCGGAAGACCUCCUGCAAGAGAUGGUGCUUAAGCUGCAUUUUGAAGACUAGGGUAUCUCCAUUUGGACCAGCCAUGUUUCAAAUGCUUGAUGGCAGCAUGUGGCGAGUGCUAUGCUAUGUUGGACAAGGCAGAUUUAGAGAAUAGGAAGGGGUCCAACUUUCAGCAAAACAUGUAGUGAGGCAAGAAUAAAGGUAUCCUGUUUCAGGAGCUGAAAUUGCAAACUUUAGCCCCUGUCGAGAAUACAGUCUCACUAUUUUUUGUCUACACUGUCAACAUGAGUUCUCUCCAGGCUCUUGGUUUCAGCUCAGAAACUCAGGAUGCAGCUGGUUUGGACAUGGGACACAGGAGAGACUCUUCUGGCCAAAGACAACAGGAGUGUGUGCAG